GGGAAGCUGAGAUGGGCAGAUAACCUGAGGUCAGGAGUUCGAUACCAGCCUGGCCAACGUGGUAAAACCCCGUAUCUACUAAAAAUACAAAAAGUAGCUAGGUGUGAUGAUGGUUGCCUGUAAUCCCAGCUACUCAGGAGGCUGAGGCAGGAGAAUCACUUGAACUCGGGAGGCAGAGGUUGCAGUGAGCUGAGAUUAUGCCAUUACAUUCCAGCCUGGGCAUGAGUGAAACUCCAUCUCAAAAAAAAAAAAAAAGAAAGAAGAAAGAAAGAAAGAAAGAAAGAGACUUGUUUGUUAACCUAUACCAUAGGAAUGUAAUUAGCAAAAUCCAAACUAUGGGAAGCAAUACAAAUUAAUCAUUCCAAAUGUUUCAGUAAAAACUUGCAAGAGAGAAAAAAGAGAUGCAGGGGAAAUCUACAGAUUUAAAGAUACUCUUUUUUUUGACAAGGUUUCUCCAUGUUGGUCAGGCUGGUCUCAAACUCCCGACCUCAGGUUAUCCACCCUCCUCUGCCUCCCGAAGUGCUGCUGGAUUACAGGCAUGAGUCACGGUGCCUGGCUUAAAGAGACUCUUAACAGCAGCUGGUACUAACUAUAACAUCUACGGAGACUAUAUAAAUUUUCUAUGCUAUGCAACAAAUCGCUACAUAAUUAGCGUUUUUUUUUUUAAGUGACAAGGUCACGAGGCUGGGGUGCCAUGGAGCAGUCACAGCUCACUGCAGCCUUGAACUCCUGGACUCAAGCCAUCCUCUUGCCUCAGCCUCCUGAGUAGCUGGGACUACAGGCACACACCAUCACACCAAAUUCAACAGCUUCAAAUAAGGCUCAUUGUUAGCUCACAAUUGGGUAGGUCUGUAAUGGAUUGAAUUGUGACUUGUUCCCCCACCAAAUUCAUAUGUUGAAGUUCCAGCUGCCACCACCUCAGAAUGUCAUCUUAUCUGGAGAUAAGGUCCUCUCAGAGGUGAACAAGUUAAAAUGAAGACAUCAGGCUGGGCCAUGUUCCAAUAUGACAGGUGUCCUUACGAAAGAGGGAAAUUUGCAUAUACACAUCCAGAGAGAACAUCAAAUAGAAAUAACGUGGUUAUUUAUUUAUUCAGAUGAAGUUCCACUCUUGCUGCUUCGGGUGGAGUGCAACAAGGCCACGUCGGCUCACUGCAACCUCCAGGUUCAAGCAAUCUCCUGUCUCAGCCUCUCGAGUAGCUGGGAUCACAGGUGCCCACCACUAUGCCCGGCUAAUUUUUGUAUUUUCAGUAGAGACAGGGUUUCACAACGUUGGCCAGGCUGGUCUCGAACUCCUGACCUCAGGUGAUCUGCCCACCUUGGCCUCUUGAAGUGCUGGGAUUACAGGCGUGGGCCUCUCUCUGUGUUUUCACAUCAUCUUUCCUCUGUAUGUGUCUCUGUGUCCAAUUUCCCCUUUUUGUAAGGACACCAGUAUUACUGGAUUGAGGCCCACCCUGAUAACUUCAUUAUAACUUGAUGACCUCUGUUGAAGUUUUGUUUUCAGGCUGGCCAAGGUGGCUCAUGCCUGUAAUCCCAGCACUUUGGGAGGCAGGCUGUUCCGGGCCAAGGGAGCAGGAAGUGCAGAGGCCAGAGGGGAAGGUCCCUGGUGUCCCUGAAACUGUAUGCAGCCGCCAGGGCUCUGGGGCAGAGUCAGCCAAUGGAGGUGCAGGAGAUGGGUCAGGGCCACCAUGCCAAGUCAGGCAUAGGCCACAAAGAGACGUGCAGGCCAUCAGGACAUGACCUUCGCACUGUGUGAAAUGGAAGCCAUUGGAUGGUUUUGAGCAGAACAAUGUGUGAGCAUCAUUCUAACUGGAUCCCCUGUCUGGGAGGCUGGUCCAAACUCCUGGGCUCAAGGGACCCUCCUGCCUCGGCCUCCCAAAGUGCUGCAUUCCAGGCAUGAGCCACCACGCCCAGCCACCGAAAUGAUACUCUAAUAAAGUUUAAAGACAAGGCAAAGAACUCCGCAAAACAUGCACCCUAUGCCCCAAAGACAACUCUCAAAAGUUCGGUCAGUGACAUUGCCGCUGACUUCACUGCAAAGCCUCCCUGGGCUCCUUGGAAGGACCGGGCCUGUGCACGUGAGCAUGCCAGCCCCUCUUGAUCCGCUGCUUCCGGCUGAAGAGCCUUCUCAUACUUCAUGGGGAGGCCCCUGGAAAGGAUUGUAAAAACAACAGACUAGCUCCAUCCACCGAGAUGGCGGCAUGGGUGAGCACCAGGCCCACCACAGCCCGAGCAUCAGGAGGACAGCAGGCAGGACGGGCUGGGGCCUUUCAGCUGUGUGGAGGAAUAAGACCCGCUGACACCAGGACUGGUGCCCAGCUGGGACACUGGCUGCCAGCCAGAGAAUGCGCACUGCUGGGAUGCGAGUCUGUGUGAGUAAUCCGUUGCAAGGCGGUAGCAUCCUACUUUAGGGCCCCUUCUAGACGGCCCAGACCAAUCUUGCAGUUGGUAUUAUUAUUUACUUUUGUAGAGAUGGGGUCUUGCUAUGUUGCCUAGGCUAGGUCUUGAACUCCUGCCCUCAAGCAAUCCUCCCCCCUUGGCCUUCCCAAGUGCCGGGAUUACUGACAUGAGUCACCACACCUGGCCUGUUACUUUUAUUUUUUACUUUUUGGGAUGGAAUCUUGCUCUGUUGCCCAGGCUAGAGUGCAGUGGCACAAUCUCAGCUCACUGCAAUCUCCGCCUCCCAGGUUCAAGCAAUUCUCCUGCCUCAGCCUCCUGUGUAGCUGGGAUUACAGACACAUGCCACCAUGCCCAGCUAAUUUUUUGUAUUUUUAAUAGAGAUGGGGUUUCACCACGUUGACCAGGAUGGUCUCGAUAUCUUGACCUUGUGAUCCAGCUGCCUCAGCCUCCCAAAGUGCCAGGAUUACAGGCGUGAGCCACUGCACCCUGCAAGUAAUUGUGAUUUUCAAAUUUUAUCAUCCCCAGUGGCCAGAUAACUGAAUUCUUGGUGUAGGGAAAAGGAGUUACAGAGGUGAAAUGGAAGAGAAUGAGUAACAUCCUGUCUCCUGAAUUUGAAUCAGAAGUAUCAGUAUGCUUCAUGAGGCAUCUUAUCUUAAAAAUUAUAUAAAUUCACAUAUACACACAGACACACACACACCUUGCAGUUGUGUACUCUGAAAGAGUCUUUAAAAAAACAGAAAACCUUAAUCUGAUUAACACUCUAGACGAAACGACCAAUUUAUAGGAAAAAAAGACACGUGUGUCAGGCGCAAUUGCUCAUGCCUGUAAUCCCAGCACUUUGGGAAGCUGAGAUGGGCAGAUAACCUGAGGUCAGGAGUUUGAUACCAGCCUGGCCAACGUGGUAAAACCCCGUAUCUACUAAAAAUACAAAAAGUAGCUAGGUGUGAUGAUGGUUGCCUGUAAUCCCAGCUACUCAGGAGGCUGAGGCAGGAGAAUCACUUGAACUCGGGAGGCAGGGGUUGCAGUGAGCUGAGAUUAUGCCAUUACAUUCCAACCUGGGCAUGAGUGAAACUCCAUCUCAAAAAAAAAGAAAGAAAGAAAGAGACUCGUUUGUUAAUCUAUACCAUAGGAACGUAAUUAGCAAAAUCCAAACUAUGGGAAGCAAUACAAAUUAACCAUUCCAAAUGUUUCAGUAAAAACUUGCAAGAGAGAAAAAAGAGAUGCAGGGGAAAUCUACAGAUUUAAAGAUACUCUUUUUUUUGACAAGGUUUCUCCAUGUUGGUCAGGCUGGUCUCAAACUCCCGACCUCAGGUUAUCCACCCUCCUCUGCCUCCCGAAGUGCUGCUGGAUUACAGGCAUGAGUCACGGUGCCUGGCUUAAAGAGACUCUUAACAGCAGCUGGUACUAACUAUAACAUCUACGGAGACUAUAUUAAUUUUCUAUGCUAUGCAACAAAUCGCUACAAAAUUAGCGUUUUUUUUUUUUUAAGUGACAAGGUCACGAGGCUGGGGUGCCAUGGAGCAGUCACAGCUCACUGCAGCCUUGAACUCCUGGACUCAAGCCAUCCUCUUGCCUCAGCCUCCUGAGUAGCUGGGACUACAGGCACACACCAUCACACCAAAUUCAACAGCUUCAAAUAAGGCUCAUUGUUAGCUCACAAUUGGGUAGGUCUGUAAUGGAUUGAAUUGUGACUUGUUCCCCCACCAAAUUCAUAUGUUGAAGUUCCAGCUGCCACCACCUCAGAAUGUCAUCUUAUCUGGAGAUAAGGUCCUCUCAGAGGUGAACAAGUUAAAAUGAAGACAUCAGGCUGGGCCAUGUUCCAAUAUGACAGGUGUCCUUACGAAAGAGGGAAAUUUGCAUAUACACAUCCAGAGAGAACAUCAAAUAGGAAUAAUGUGGUUAUUUAUUUAUUUAGAUGAAGUUCCACUCUUGCUGCUUCGGGUGGAGUGCAACAAGGCCACGUCGGCUCACUGCAACCUCCAGGUUCAAGCAAUCUCCUGUCUCAGCCUCUCGAGUAGCUGGGAUCACAGGUGCCCACCACUAUGCCCGGCUAAUUUUUGUAUUUUCAGUAGAGACAGGGUUUCACAACGUUGGCCAGGCUGGUCUCGAACUCCUGACCUCAGGUGAUCUGCCCACCUUGGCCUCUUGAAGUGCUGGGAUUACAGGCGUGGGCCUCUCUCUGUGUUUUCACAUCAUCUUUCCUCUGUGUGUGUCUCUCUGUCCAAUUUCCCCUUUUUGUAAGGACACCAGUAUUACUGGAUUGAGGCCCACCCUGAUAACUUCAUUAUAACUUGAUGACCUCUGUCGAAGUUUUAUUUUCAGGCUGGCCGAGGUGGCUCAUGCCUGUAAUCCCAGCACUUUGGGAGGCCGAGGCAGGUGGAUCACCUGAGGUCAGGAAUUGGAGACCAGCCUGAUCAAUGUGCAGAAACUCUGUCUCUUAAAACCAAACCAAAACAAAAAUUAUUUAAAAAUUGUUAAAAUUAGUUUAAAAAUGAUUAAAAACACUGCAUAAAAUUACCUUCAGGUGGCUGGGCGCUGCGGCUCAUGCCUGUAAUCCCAGCGCUUUGGGAGACAGGCCAAGGGAGCAGGAAGUGCAGAGGCCAGAGGGGAAGGUCCCUGGUGUCCCUGAAACUGUAUGCAGCCGCCAGGGCUCUGGGGCAGAGUCAGCCAAUGGAGGUGCAGGAGAUGGGUCAGGGCCACCAUGCCGAGUCAGGCAUAGGCCACAAAGAGACGUGCAGGCCAUCAGGACGUGACCUUUACCCUGUGUGAAAUGGAAGCCAUUUGAUGGUUUUGAGCAGAACAAUGUGUGAGCAUCAUUCUAACUGGAUCCCCUGUCCGGGAGGUAAGUGGGCCGAGGGGAGCCAGAGCAGGGGUGUUGUUUGGACCAGUGGGGGUGCCAAGGUGGUCAGGUUCAGAAUCUAUUGUGUGUGUGUGUUUGUGUGUGUGUGUGUGUGUGUGAGAGAUGGAGUCUUCCCCUGUUGCCCAGGCUGGACUGCAGUGGCAAGAUCUUGGCUCACUGCAACCUCUGCCUCCUGGGUUCAAGCCAUUCUCCUGCCUCAGCCUCUUGAGUAGCUGGGAUUACAGGCACCUGCCAUCAUGCCCAGCUAAUUUCUUCUGCAUUUUUAGUAGAGACAGGGUUUCAUCAUGUUGGCCAGGCUGGUUUCAAACUGCUGACCUCAAGUGAUCCACCCUCCUCGGCUCCCCAAAGUACUGGGAUUACAAAGGUGACAAAGGUGAACCACAGAGCCUGGCCCAGAAUCCAAUUUGAAGUGGAGUCAACAGGAUUUGCUGAUGGGUGUUAUGAGAGUGGGAGCAGUCAGGGAUGACCCAAGAGCGUUGGCCCCAGGAGCUGGAGGAAGUGGUAUCCAGGAGCUGUGGACACAGCCAGAGCUGGCUUUGUUGACUGUUUUCUCUAAUGCUGAUCAGCCACUGACCUACUCUUCCUGAAGGUACAUUGAUAUAUCACACUGAGGGCCCGCGGGCUUUGCCGGUCUGAGAUCAAGUGCCCUUUCUCUUGAAGUGUUUGCAUAAUCUCUGCUUUAAUGCACUGUAGGUGGUAUGCACAUAGAGUUUCGCUUUCAGGAGGAAAUUUAUUCCACAACUGUAGCUGCACGUCUGCUCAAAGAUAUUAACUUGCUGUGUUACUGACUCUUGGCAUUCCUUAUGACCGUAUGGCUUUGAACUUCAUCUGAAGCUUCUACACUCUGUGGCUUUUUUUUUUUUUUUUUUUUUUUUUGGUGGAGUUUUACUCUUGUUGCCCUGGCUGGAGUGCAAUGGUGCCAUCUUGGCUCACUGCAACCUCCACCUCCUGGGUUCAAGCAAUUCUCCUGCCUCAGCCUCCAGAGUAGCUGGGAUUACAGGCAUGCACCACCACACCUGGCUAAUUUUUGUAUUUUUAGUAGAGAUGGGGUUUCACCGUAUUGACCAGGCUGCUCUCAAACUCCUGACCUUGUGAUCCACCUGCCUUGGCCUCCCAAACUGCUGGGAUUACAGGCGUGAGCCACCACAACCGACUAUAUGAAUUGUAUUUUACCCAACCUACCCAGAACAUUUUUUUUUUCUUGAGACAGAGUCUUGCUCAGCUGCCCUGGCUGGAGUGCAGUGGCAUGAUCUCAGCUCACUGCAUUCUCCACCUCCUGGGUUCAAGCAGUUCUCCUGCCUCAGCCUCCUGAGUAGCUGGGAUUAUAGACACCCACCAUCCUGCCCAGCUAAUUUUUCUAUUUUAGUAGACACAGGGUUUCACUAUGUUGGCCAGGAGGGUCUUGAACUCCUGACCUCAGGGGAUCCGCCCUCCUCAAAAAUACUAUCUUUUUAACAUGCAAUCAAUAUGAAAAGUAUUGGAAUGCUUUACAUCUUUUUUUCCCUUUACACCAAGCCUUCGAAAUCUGGUAUUUUAUACUUACAGCACAUCUCCAUUCGGACCAACCACAUUUCUUUUCUUUGGAGUUUCACUCUUGUUGUCCAGGCUGGAGUGCAAUGGCGAAAUCUUGGCUCACUGCAACCUCCACGUCCCUGGUUAAGUGAUUCUCCUGCCUCAGCCUCCAGAGUAGCUGGGAUUACAGGCAUGUGCCAUCAUGCCUUGCUAAUUUUGUAUUUUCAGUAGAGAUGGGGUUUCUCCAUGUUGGUCAGGGUGGUCUUGAACUCCCAACCUCAGGUGAUCCACCUCCCUCGGCCUCCCGAAGUGCUGGGAGUACAAGCAUAAGCCACUGUGCCCGGCCAGACCAACUACAUUUCACAACUUAACGGCCACACGUGGCUAACUGCCACUGUUUAGCACGGUGUAUUUCCAGGUACUGAGCUAUCCCCACAGUGGUCAUGCACAAUCAGCGUCCGUCUCAGCUGGAAGCUUCUUUGCAAUGCAGAAUCCCAGACCUACUCAGCCAGAAUCUGCUUUUUAACAAGAUACUCAAGUAAUUUACACACAGGUUAAAAUGUGAGAUGCAUGGGUAGAUGGCCGUUGUUUUGUUCAUUCUGGAAAGUAUGCUUGUGUUUUUCAGACUGCGUGUCUUCAUUUUGGCUCUGAAAGCACAGUCACUUCCACUGUGAUGGCAUCUGUAUUAGAGUCCUCCAGGGAAGCAGAACCAAUGGGAUAUAUAGAGAGAGACAUACAGGCAGAGGUUUAUUUAUUUAUUGAGACAUGUUCUUGCUCUGUUGCCCAGGCUGGAGUACAGUAAGGCAGUCAUGGCUCACUUCAGCCUCCACCUCCCAGGCUCAGGCAAUUCUCCUGCCUCAGCCUCCUCACUAGCUGGGACCACAGUAUGUGCCAACAUGCCUGGCUAAUUUUUACAAAUUAUUUGUAGAGGGUGGGUAUGGUGGCUCACGCCUAAAAUACCAGCAUUUUGGGAGGCCAAGGCUAUCAGAUUGCCUGAGGUCAGGAGUUCAAGAUCAAUCUGGCCAACAUGGUGAAACCCUGUCUGUACUAAAAAUCCAAAAAAAAUACCCAGACGUGGUGGCAUAAGCCUAUAAUCCCAGCUACUUGGCAGGCUGAGGCGGGGGAAUUACUUGAACCAGGAAGGUGAAGGUUGCAGUGAGCCAAGAUCCUGCCACUGCAUUCCAACUUGGGUGACAUAGUGAGACUCCAUCUCAGAAAAACAAAAUCAUUUUCCCGUUCUCCUGUUACGCAGGCUGGUCCAAACUCCUGGGCUCAAGGGACCCUCCUGCCUCGGCCUCCCAAAAUGCUGCAUUCCAGGCAUGAGCCACCACGCCUGGCCACCGAAAUGAUACUCUAAUAAAGUUUAAAGACAAGGCAAAGAACUCCGCAAAACAUGCACCCUAUGCCCCAAAGACAACUCUCAAAAGUUCGGUCAGUGACAUUGCCGCUGACUUCACUGCAAAGCCUCCCUGGGCUCCUUGGAAGGACCGGGCCUGUGCAGGUGAGCACGCCAGCCCCUCUUGGUAGGUGGCCUAUGUUUCUCGGUCACUGUAGGGCUGUGGCCCUGGCAGGGGCCAGUGGCGUCCACUGUUCUGCGAGCCUGGGAGAGACGUGGUGCCCUCGGUAUGGAGCAAAGAUCCCCCCGUGUUUAGGGCUGCUGCUUCCUUGGACAAACGGUGAAGAGAGAUGCUCAGGGGAGGUGGGUUGGGGUGGGCAUGAGUCCCAUCUCGCUCCCAGGCCUUCACCCAGCAUCCCACACACUGGGACUCCUACUGUGAUCCGUGUCACUGCCACCACGACUGCGCAUUAGCUCGAGUGUUUAGCGCCGUCCCCCAUCAGCCUCUGAUUUCCUUCAGAUCCGCUGCUUCCGGCUGAAGAGCCUUUUCAUACUUCAUGGGGAGGCCUCUGGAAAGGAUUGUAAAAACAACAGACUAGCUCUGUCCACCGAGAUGGCGGCAUGGGUGAGCACCAGGCCCACCACAGCCCGAGCAUCAGGAGGACAGCAGGCAGGACGGGCUGGGGCCUUUCAGCUGUGUGGAGGAAUAAGACCCGCUGACACCAGGACUGGUGCCCAGCUGGGACACUGGCUGCCAGCCAGAGAAUGCGCACUGCUGGGAUGCGAGUCUUUGUGUGAGUAAUCCGUUGCAAGGCGGUAGCAUCCUACUUUAGGGCCCCUUCUAGACGGCCCAGACCAAUCUUGCAGUUGGUAUUAUUAUUUAUUUUUGUAGAGAUGGGGUCUUGCUAUGUUGCCUAGGCUAGGUCUUGAACUCCUGCCCUCAAGCAAUCCUCCCCCCUUGGCCUUCCCAAGUGCCGGGAUUACUGACAUGAGUCACCACACCUGGCCUGUUAUUUUUAUUUUUUACUUUUUGGGAUGGAAUCUUGCUCUGUUGCCCAGGCUAGAGUGCAGUGGCACAAUCUCAGCUCACUGCAAUCUCCGCCUCCCGGGUUCAAGCAAUUCUCCUGCCUCAGCCUCCCGAGUAGCUGGGACUACAGGCACCCACCACCAUGCUCAGCUAAUUUUUGUAUUUUUAGUAGAGACAGGGUUUCACCAUGUUGGCCUGGCUGGUCUUGAACUCCUGACCUCAGGUGAUCUGCCCAUCUUGGCCUCCUAAAGUGCUGGGAUUGCAAGUGUGAGCCACCAUGCCUGGUCCUGUUAUAUUAUUAUUAUUUUAUUUUUUUGAAACAGAAUCUCGCUGUGUCACCCAGGCUGGAGUGCAGUGGUGUAAUCUCAGCUCACAGUAACCUUGCCUCCCAGGUUCAAAUGAUUCUUCUUCCUCACAGGCAUGUGCCAUCACGCCUGACUAAUUUUUGUAUUUUCAGUGGAGACUGGGGUUUUGCCAUGUUGGCCAGGCUUGUUUUGAACUCCUGACCUUCGGUGAUCCUCCUGCCUCAGCCUCCCACAGUGGUGGGAUUACAGGCGUAAGCCACCGCGCCCGGCCUGUUAUUGUUAUUUUUUUAAAUAGUGCUUAUCCAUAUAAAGCUUUACAAGGAAGGUUGAAGGCAUCUGUUUGAUCCUAAACAUCCUGCUCCCUUACUGCUGUCCCCAUGGAGGGUUUGUGACUCUGCUUUCAACAUAUUAAUUCUUUUCCCACCACACAGCUUUGGAAAGGACAAAUGGAGGCUGUUAGUAUGUUCUUCUCCCAAAAGGUACCUACAAAAUCCGACACAGACCACAAGCAAUGGGGAGUGAACUUUUACUGAAGACUUGCUCAGCGGCUGGUGGGCCUCGUUUUCCUGUUAAAGACAGCUCCUCACGUGCCUUCCUUAGGCACCAGGGCAAGUGUGUCCUUUACAAUCCCUGCAGCCAGCCAAGGUUGGACCCGGGGUGCUGGUUUCACAACAAGCCUAGGUGUCAGUAGAGGCACGUACAUGGACAGCAGGAUAGGCGUUUUCCUCUCUCCUUUGCUCCUGGAAAACUGCCUCAGCUCCAAAUAGGAUAUUACAAAUAUAUUAAUGAGUAAAUAAAAGAUAGGAAAGCUGGGCACCUUGGCUUACGCCUGUAAUCCCAGCACUUUGGGAGGCCGAGGCGGGCAGAUCACAAGGUCAAGAGAUCGAGACCAACCUGGCCAACAUGGUGAAACCUCGUCUCUAUUAAAAAUACAAAAAAUUAGCUGGGUGUGGUCGUGAGUGCCUGUAAUCCCAGCCACUCGGGAGGCUGAGGCAGGAGAAUUGCUGGAACCCCGGAGGUGGAGGUUGCAGUGAGCUGAAAUUGCACCACUCCACUCCAGCCUAGAGACAGACUCUGUCUCAAAAAAAAAAAAUUAGCUAGGCAUAAUGGUGGGCUCCUGUAAUCCCAGCUAAUCAGGAGGCUGAGGCAGGAGAAUUGCUUGAACCCGGGAGAUGGAGGUUACAGUGAGCCGAGAUCAUGCCACUGCACCCCAGCUUAGGCAACAGAGUGACACUUCAUCUCAAAAAAAAAAAAAAAAAGAUAGGAAAUAGGCAACACUGUCAAUGUCUGGCAAACGUUCUCCCAGCACUGAGGGAGACUGAAGGGGAAGAUCGCUUGAGCCCAGGAUUUUGAGGCUGCAGUGAGCCAUGAUCGGACCACUGCACUACAAUAUGGGUGACAGAAUAAGACCCUAUCUCUGAAAAAGAACGAAAGAAAGAAGGAACAGGUAGAUACGUGUUCAGGACGAAUGCCUAUCGAUGGCACUAUUCAUGCCUUGUGGCAGGGUUAGAAGUUUUCAGUUCCCACUCUCAGUAGCUUCCAUCUUUCCAUCUUUCUUCACACCACCACACUGGCUAUCAAAGUCUUUUUUUCUGUGUGUGAGAUGGAGUUUGGCUCUUGUUGACCAGUCUGGAGUGCAAUGGUGCAAUCUUGGCUCACUGCAGCCUCUGCCUCCCGGGUUCAAGUGACUCUCCUGCCUCAGUCUCCUUAGUAGCUGGGAUUACAGGCCUGCACCACUAUGCCUGGGUAAUUUUUGUAUUUUCAGUAGAGACGGGAUUUCACUGUGUUGGUCAGGAACCUCAGCCUCCCAAAAUGCUGGGAUUCCAGGCGUCAGCCACUGUGCCCAGCCAAAGUCAUUUGUAUGUUUAUUAUUACUUUUUUCUUUAAUUUUAGAGACAGGGUCUUGCUACACUGCCUAGGCUGGAGUGCAAUGGCUAUUCACAGGCACGAUCCCAGCGCACUGCAGCCUUGGACUCCCGGCGUUGAGUGACCCCCCACCUGAGCCUCCCAAGUAGCUGGAACUAUAGGCCCAUGCCACUGUGCCCAGCUUGUCUGUUUUCUAGGGCCAUCGCUUCAUUUAGCAAAACUGUGUUGAGUGCCAGUGGAGCAGCAGUGCACCUGCCCAUGAGGCCCAUGGUGUGAGGCCAAGUCUAAACAGAAAGGGAGAGUCAUUUAAUGGACUUUUAUGAAGUGAGGCCCAAGGUUUGAACAGAAUGCACUGGUGAAAGGUUAGAUCACAGAGCCCAGUGUGCGUUGAACUCUUAACCUUGUGGAGCAAGAAAUGAAGGCCUCCAGAUAUGAAAUGAUUUGCCGGGUGUCUCUUGUCUGCAACCUAUACAUUUUUACUUUAGACCAUGCUAUUGUAUUCUUGAUUUAAUUUUUUUAAAAAGACUAUUUUGGGGGAGUUUUAGGUUUACAGCAAAAUUGAGAGGAAGGUACAUUUAUAUGAUUUUUAAACCUUGGAGGUAGAGAAUUUUUUUUUUUAAAAAAGAGUCUUGCUCUGUCACCCAGGCUGGAGUGCAGUGGCACAAUCCCAGCUCACUGCAACCUUUGCCUCCUGGGUUCCAGUGAUUCUCCUGCCUCAGACUCCCCAGUAGCUGGGACUACAGGUGUACACCAUCAUGCCCAGCUAAUUUUUGUAUUUUUAGUAGUGAUGGGGCUUCACCAUGUUGGCUAGCCUGGUCUCGAACUCCUAACUUCAAGUGAUUCACCUGCGUUGGCCUCCCAAAGUUUUGGGAUUACAGGUAUGAGCCACCGUGCCCAGCCUCAAAGGUAAUAAUUUUAUUUAUUUAUUUAUUUUUGGACAGAGUCUCACUCUGUCACCCAGGCUGGAGGGCAGUGUCGCAAUUGUGGCUCACUGCAACUUCCAUCUCCUGGGUUCAAGUUAUUCUCCUGCCUCAGCCUCCUGAGUAACUGGGAUUACAGGCACACGCCACCACGCCCGGCUAAUUUUUGCAUUUUUAGUAGAGACGGGGUUUCACUCUGUUGACCAGGCUGGUUUCAAACUCCUGACCUCAAGUGAUCCACCCACCUGGGCCUCCCAAAGUGCUUGGACUACAGGCCACGGCACCCUGCACUCGAAGGUAAUAAUUUUAAAUUGUUGAGAGUUGGUCCACAUUUUCUGUGAUUACACAAUUAUUAGGCAUAAAGAUUCUGGAAAACGUUUCUUGUGCAUGUGAAUAUUUAAAAAACUUUAAAACCCACAGAUGCCUUGUAUAGGCUGUAUACUGUGCAUGGCGUGAGUGGGCUUAAUCGUUUUCUUUCAAAGGUGCUGAGCAAAUAUUUUGCAACUGGUAGUGGGAAGCUCAGUUAGCCUCGGUGAGAAUCUCGGUCUUAAUUCACUUUGGGAGGCUGAGGCAGACGGAUUAACUAAGGUCAGGAGUUCGAGACCAGCCUGGCCAACGUGGUGAAACACCGCCUCUACUAAAAAUACACAAAACAGGCCGGGCGCGGUGGCUCACGCCUAUAAUCCCAGCACUUUGGGAGGCCAAGGUGGGUGGAUCACGAGGUCAAGAGAUUGAGACCAUCCUGGUCAACAAGGUGAAACCCCGUCUCUACUAAAAAUACAAAAAUUAGCUGGGCAUGAUGGUGCAUGCCUGUAGUCCCAGCUACUCGGGAGGCUGAGGCAGGAGAAUUGCUUGAACCCAGGAGGCGGAGGUUGUGGUGAGCCGAGAUUGUGCCAUUGCACUCGGUCUGGGUAACAACAGCGAAACUCUGUCUCAAAAAAAAAAAAAAAAAUACACAAAUCACCCAAUGUGGUGGUGCACACCUGUCAUCCCAGCUACUUGGGAGACUGAGGCAUGAGAAUUGCUUGAACCCAUGAGGUGGAGGUUGCAGCGAGCCUCCAUUGCACCCCAGCCUGGGCUACUGAGCAAGACUGUCUCCAGAAGAAGAUAAAGAAGAAUAAAAGAAAGAAAGAAAAAAAAAACAGAAAGGGAAAUGAGCCAUCUCAGAGAACAACUGUGUUUUGUGAGCAGGUCCCAACAAUGUCACCGCUGGGAGCGGGUGCCGCCCACCCGGCCCCUGCAGAGCCGGGGAGCUGAGAGAGGAAGGGGCGCACUUGCCGGCGGGCGGAGGGGGGGGCCGGGAUGCAGGUGCGGGGCCUCAUUUUCUUUCCUUGCAAAGCGAAUUCCCCAAAGGGUUCUGCUGCUUUUGCUUGGCAGAGCAAGGGAAAAUAAGACAUUUUAAAUGAAUUCCAUUGUCUUUCCUGGUGACAGAGCAGCCUCCCCCAGCGUGUCUCCAUGUCUCUGUAGCCCUGUAAGAGCAGUCGCUCCCUUCUCCUCUUAAAACGCGGCAAUAAUGAAUAGGAAGAAAAAGUGCUUGUUGCAAAAGGCUGAUUAUUAUAGGUCUCCCAGCAUUCUGCAUCCACCUGCUGAGGAAAUCAUGGCUUUGAGUGUGCAGAGAUUUAUUGCUAUGCAAGUUCAUUUGCAAGUGUAGAAGAUAGGAACAGACUAACGCUGACCUCAGAGGUAAAGACAGUAGAGUGUUUGAAGGGGUGUGGGCAUUUCUCCCCCUAAUCUCUCCUUCCCAUCCCAAGGGCACUAACAUCCUGCAUCCCUGUGGCUACGCCCUGUGUAGCGCUGUGUAGCCGGCACAUUUUCUAGGACUUGAGCUAACGGGAGCUUGGGGUCAUUGGCUAUUACAAGCGUAAUGUGUAGGACAGCCCUCAUCCCACAAGAUCCGCUGGAGAAGGAAGCCCUUCCAAGACGUGGGUGGCCCUGAGCUUGAGCUUAGCUUGGGCAGGGUGGUAGAUUGGAAAGAGAAGUGGAGGCAGGCUGGUCGCCUUCCUCACACACGUGCUGUGGCCUUGAGGAAGCUGUGUAAACUCUCAGGGCCCCAACUACCUCCUUUUCCAAAUGGCCAGUGGCCUCCUUGGGCUCCUUGAGUAGGGCCAAAGGCCACAGCAGUGAGGUUUGCUGGUGGGCGAUUAAGUUUUAGGGCGUUCAAAUCAAAGCACCACACAGUGUGAAAUACCAUUGCACAGCACAAGCUUGUGUGUACGCCAAUUCGUUGGCAUAAAGAUCAAGGCCAGGCAUGGUGGUUCAUGCCUGUAAUCCCAGCACUUUGGGAGUCUGAGGAGGGUGGAUCUCUUGAGCCCAGGAGUUUGAGACCAAAAAAUACAGAAAUUAGCCAGGCGUGGUGGCAGACACCUAUAAUGCCAGCUACUCAGGAGGCUGAGGCAGGAGAAUUGCUUGAACCUGGAGGCAGAGGUUGCAAUGAGCCAAGAUCGCGCCACUGCACUCCAGCCUGGGUGACAGAGUGAGACUCCAUCACAAAUAAAAUAAAAAGUUGGCUAAUUAGCAUACUUCAUCUUUGACCUUCAUUCCCCCUUGCCACAUAACAUAAUAUAUUCGAGGGUUCCAGGGAUUAGGACACGGACAUCUUGGGGGAGGCAUCGUCCUGCUUCCACAGUGAGGAUGCUACUUUAAUCAGGGUGGUCAGGGAGGGCUUCUCUGAGUAGCUGGUAUUGAAAGGAAGAUCUGUAAGAUAAGGACCAACCACAUCGAGUGGCAGAAGAGCUUCUCAGGCAGCGGGAGUGCCACGUGCAAACGCCCCAGGUGUGUUUAGGAGCAGGGUGGAUCUGGAGAGGCUACAGCACGUGGAGGUUGCAGUGAGCCGAGAUCGUAUCACUGCACUCCAGCCUGGCAACAGAGCAAGACACUGUCUCAAAAAAAAAUCAGAAUAUUAUUUUAUCUUAUUUUUUAAUUGGCACAUAAUUGUACAUAUUUGUGGAACACACAGCGAUGUUUUGAUUCAUACAAGGUGUAGUGAUCAGAUCAAGAUCAUUAGCAUACCCAUCUUGUCCAUCAUCUCUGUCAUGUCUUUGUGCUGGAAGCAUGAAUACCCUCCUUCUAGGUCUGAGAGUUUUUUAAGGAUUGCCUUAGAUAAUGUGGGAGGAGGCUGGGCGCUGUGGCUCUCACCUGUCAUCCCAGCUCUUAAGGAGGCAGAGGCUGGAGGAUAGCUUGAGCCCAGGAGUUCAAGACCUGCCUGGGCAAUAUAGGGAGACCCUGUUCUCAAAAAAAAAAAAAAAAAAAAGAUGAUGUGGGAGGAACCAAACCCGAGGGCAAGAGGCCAGAGGCAGGGAAGCCUCUGAGCGCUCCUAAGACCCCCAAGGACCUUGUUGGUAGACUCAGGAAAUCGAGGUUGUCAGCCAGGUGCAGUGGCUCAUGCCUGUAAUCCCAUCACUUUGGGAGACUGAGGAGGGUGAAUCACCUUGGGUCAGGAGUUCAAGACCAGCCUGGCCAACAUGGUGAAACCCCGUCUCUACUAAACAAAAAAAUUAACAAAGCGUGGUGGUGCACACCUGUAGUCCCAGCUACUUGGGAGGCUGAGGCAGGAGAAUCACAUGAACCAGGGUGGCAGAGGUUGCAGUGAGCUGAGAUCAUGCCACUGCACUCCAGCCUGGGCAACAGAGCGAGACUCUUGUCUCAAAAUAAAUAAAUAAAUAAAAUAAGAAUGAAUGAAAUGUUCCUGGAGACUCUGAAAUAUCUGACAGAAAGGGUCUUGGAGAUGCUAUUGUUGAACCUAAAUAGCAGAUAGAGACUCUCUAAAGGAAAAUGAUAUUUAGCUGGGAAUGGUCAUUGCAGUGGGAAUAGGUGUGAUAUAUCGAGGGAGGUGAGGGAAGACAAGAGUUAAAGGAAACCUUAGGAGGGUUUCACGAGUUAUUUUGAGACAAUUAUCCUUGGCUUCAAGGAUCAAUCACAAGGACAGUUUCAGUCCAGUACGGGACAGGCAGUUGCUGGGCAGGUGCCCUCAUAGAAAUGUUUUUCCGUGUAAGAUUAUGGGGGCCUUUGUGUAAAACUGCAGCUUUACAGAGACUUGUGUGACAGUUCUUGUUAUCACGCAUCCACGCAUGAAAGCCUCACGUUCAUCCCGGGCUCCAUUUGUCAGGGUUUUAACAUAACUGACUCCAUUUUUAUUUUGAUGCUCUUUCCAUUUCCCCUUUUAAUCAAGAUCUUUCUCCAAAAACGAUGCUGGUCGAUCAUUCUGUGGUUGGGUUUUGAUAUCACUUGGUGUUGGGAUGAACCAGUCCUAGGCUGGUCUGGUCCCAGGUUAGAGGGAGUCAUUGGCAACUAUUAGUCAAUGUCAAAACCCUUUUAGUCACAUUUGAAUGAUAAGGGAGGUUGGGAGGGGGCUCUCAGGCUAGAUCUACCUGGAGUCCAUUGUUCUGCUCAUUUCUGUUUGUUCUGUAUUUUUGGGAUCUCCUCUCAAAGCAUUGGUCAGCAUUAUUUUGUUAGGAGUUACACUUCUGCAGAAAUCUGACAGGUACAAGGUUUAGAAAGAAAACUACAGAGGCCGGGUGCAGUGGCUCACACUUGUAAUUCCAGCACUUUGGGAAGCUGAGGCAGGCAGAUCACAAGGUCAGGAGUUCAAGACCAGCCUGGCCAACAUAGUGAAACCCUGUCUCUACUAAAAAUACAAAAGUUAGCCUUGUGUGGUGGUGCGUGCCUGUAGUCCCAGCUACUUGGGAGACUGCAGCAGAAUUCCUUGAACCUGGGAAGUGGAGGUUGCAGUGAGUCGAGAUCAUGCCAUUGCACUCUAGCUUAGGCAACAGAGUGACAUUUCGUCUCAAAAAAAGUCUACAAAAGAAAAUUAGUCUGGGUGCGGUGGCUCAUGCCUAUAAUCCCAGCACUCUGGGAGGCCAAGGUGGGUAAAUCACUUGUGGCCAGGAGUUUGAGACCAGCUUGGCCAACAUGGAGAAACCCUAUGCAGAAAAAAUACAAAAAUUAGCAGGGCAUGGUGGCACAUCCCUAUAAUCCCAGCUACCUGGGAGGCUGAGGCAGGAGAAUCACUUGAACCCAGGAGGCAGAGAUUGUGGUGGGCCGAGAUCGUGCCACUGCACUCCAGCCUGGGCAAGAGAGCAUGACUCUGUCUCGAAAAUAAAUAAAUAGAUAAAUAAAUAAAAUGGUAAUUCGAUAACCCUAGUUUGCUUAGUGGUUUUGAGCUAUGAACCUAGACUUAAAGGGAAUGCACUGAAUAAAUCGAAUGACCAUGGAGCACUAGAAGACACCUGUUGGGACGAAGUGGCUUGUUUCUUAUUUUGUGUGUUUGGGUCUCAACUUCCCGGCCUGAACUUUAUCCAGGUACAGCAUGUGGUAUUAGCAAUAGCACAGUUUCUCAUCCAGCCAACAGAUAACACAGAGCGAAUUCAUCAUCUAGUGUCCCAUGACUGGGAUGAAGUAGAGCAAAGUCAGCAACAGUUCUGUAAGGGAUGCUGCCCGUUACCCACUAGGUGGACUACAGGAUCUCUUAGGUCAGGUCUGUCAAGUUAGCAGAAGAGGGACAAGAGUCUCAUGAUGGGGUCUCUUGUGUUGUCUUGGGAAAAGCCACCCACAGCAUGAAGCCAUUAACUUCUUGUCCUGGUUUGCAGUUAGAACGUCUCUGGUCAUGGCAUUGGGCACUCUAGAGCUUUCUGUGUGGCCCUUAUAUCACACACAAGACUCACCCCUUAAAAUGCAUUUAGUUAGGGCCGGGCACAGUGGCUCAUGCCUGUAAUCCCAGCACUUUGGGAGGCUGAGGCGGGUGGAUCACGAGGUCAAGAGAUCAAGACCAUCCUGGUCAACAUGGUGAAACCCCGUCUCUACUAAAAAUACAAAAAUUAGCUGGGCAUGGUGGCGCGUGCCUGUAGUCCCAGCUACUCGGGAGGCUAAGGCAGGAGAAUUGCUUGAACCCAGGAGGCAGAGGUUGUGGUGAGCCGAGAUCGUGCCAUUGCACUCCAGUCUGGGUAACAAGAGCGAAACUCCAUCUCAAAAAAAAAAAAAAAAAGCAUUUAGUUUCAGCUUAUAGUGCCUUAGGAACACAGCAAUUCCCAUUCUUAGUAUUCCAUGGAAGCAAGUUGGAUUGGAGGAAACAAAAAGAAUUCAGGACCAGCUGGGCGUGGUGGGUCACGCCUGUAAUCCCAGCACCCUGUGCAUGCCUCAACCAGGGUAAAAAAUCUCUAUGCAGUAUACAGGUAGAUGUGCACAAAAAUAACUAAAAAUGGUCUAGAACCCUUGAACUUGCAAGUCCCCACUCUUGCUAAUGGCAAAAGAAAGAGGAAAAAACACCAUGAACAUGCUCAUCAAAGCUAAUUUAGUCUCCGGUCUACAAAAACUCCCUUCCUCCUUAACUCGACGCACCAAGAUUGAAGUUCAAGUUCCCAUCAAGUGUCUCUCCCUGCUCCUUUCUGAGAUGCUGUCGGGAUGCAGGGGAGCUAAGGCCCCUCCUGGCUCCUGCCUCUCAGCCAUGGCCAGGGCGGUUCCUGGGUCUUCUGUCCUGGUGCCCACGAGGUGAUACCAUCAUGCCUUAUUCUCAGGCUCCAGCCCAGAGCUCCCAGCCUGGCCUCUGUACCCCAACCUUAAUCUUCUGAUUCAUCAGGGCCUGGGCUGCUUUUCCCACUCCACACUGGAAAGUGUAGGAUCUCGGAGGCUGCCUGCCGGCUCACCCUCUAGGCCCUUUCCUGGGCAUUUCCAAACCAUGCCUGGGCAGCCUGUGCUGCUCUGCCGCCAUGCUCACCACAGGCCUUGCCACCACUGUUUUGUGUUUGUUUGAGAUGGAUUUUGGCUCUUGUUGCCCAGGCUGGAGUGCAAUGGCGCAAUCUCAGCUCACCACAACCUCCACCUCCUCCUGGGUUCAAGUGAUUCCCCUGCCUCAGCCUCCCAAGUAGCUUAAAACUACAGGCAUGCACCACCACGCCCGGCUAAUGUUUUGUAUUUUUGGAAGAGACGGGGUUUUACCAUGUUGGUCAGGUGGUCUUGAACUCCUGAACUCAGAUAAUCCGUCUGCCUCGGCCUUCCAAAGUGCUAGGAUUACAGGUGUGAGCCACCGAGCCCAGCCUGCCACCACCUUGGGUUUUAACCCCAAGGAGGGAAUCAGGACCCUGGCAUCUGAUCUCCUGUAUCUUCCUACUGAUGGGAACUUCCCUAAGUCACAUCUCCUGGCCCUGUGCACUGCUUGUAAUCCAAGUCCCAGAUUCUGUUCUUUACGUCUUAAAGCAGAACCUUUGGAAUUUAGAAAAUCUCUUUCUUCUCUGAAAGCUCAGUUUCAAGAGUACUAAAUCACAUGCAUUCAGAGCCAGUCUUAAUAUUUAAAGGUGAAAAAGUCUUUCUCAUCACAUUCCUAUGAUGAAAAUCAUAAUUAUCCUUGAGGCCAACAGAAGCUUCUGAUUGAAUUAGAGAAAGAAAAAAUAUUAAUACAUUUAAGAUAAUAUCUGUCCAGGUGUGGUGGCUCACACCUGCAAUCCCAGCACUUUGGGAGGCCGAGGUGGGUGGAUCAUUUGAGGUCAGGAGUUCGAGACCAGCCUGGCCAACAUGCUGAAACCCCAUCUGUACUAAAAAUACCAAAAAAAAAAAAAAAAAAAAGUAAGCCAGGCAUGGUGGUGCGUGCCUGUAAUCCCAGCUACUUGAACACUGAGGCACGAGAAUCGCUUGAACGCAGGAGGUGGAGGUUGCGGUGAGCCAAGAUCAUGCCACUGCACUCCAGCCUGGGAGACAGAGUGAGACCCUGUCUCAAAGGAAAAAAAAACAGAGAGAGUAUCUCUCUUUUACAUGCAGCAUAGCACUUACCACAAACGUAUUAGAAUUGUUCCAUAUCUGUCAUCCUAAACAGAGAGGAGUUAAAAGGAAGAGCACAAAUCAUUUUUGUUUUUUUGAGACAGAGUCUCACUGUGUCGUUCAGGCUGGAGUGCAGCGUUGCAAUCUCAGCUCACUCCAACUUCUGCCUCCCGGGUUCAAGAAAUUCUCCUGCCUCAGCCUCCUGAGUAGCUGGGAUUACAGGUGCACACCACCACAGGCGGCUAAUUUUUGUAUUUUUAGUAGAGACGGGGUUUCACCAUGUUUGUCAGGCUGGUCUCAAACUCCUGACCUCGUGGUACACCUGCCUCAGCCUCCCAAAGUGCUGGGAUUACAGGCAUGGGCCAUCGUGCCGAGUGGGUAUAAAUCUUACUCACUUUUUAUGUCAAGUGCCUAAAUAUUGUGCCUGGCACUUUGUAUGCUCACAGAAACUAUUGGAUA